UACUUGCCCUUCCUCUACUUUACCAACCUAUCACAAAAUUAUCAUCUAAAGAUUUUUAUUCUGACUGAAUACCUCCUACAUGACUGAAUACCUCCUACAUUAACAUGACGAUGAAUUAUAGUUUAAAUAAGAAUCUGUUUGUUUGCGCUCAACAUUGUUGUAGCACACAUCUUAUCCACAUGGUUUAGUAGUUACUUAAUAUUUGAAAAAAAAAGAAUCAUGUUUUCAAACUAUUUUUUAUUUUUUUUCUCAAUUCUUUUGUGUGUUUUAUGUAUUGAAAGCUCACCAACAAAAUCUGAAAUUGAUUUAGCGCAAGAGUCCAUUGAAGAACGUUUAAAGGCAUAUUCCAAUGAUAGCGAUAAAAUAAGAUAUUUAAUUCAGAAGAUGGCCAAAGAUCGUGUAUCACAUAAGCAAGAGCUCAUUGAUGUCGUUGCAAAAGUAUGUCGGCAAGGAGCUAAAGAAACAGUUCGCAAAGAACACACUGUUGGGCUUAGUCUGAAAGAAGCUUUGGAUCCUGUACUCCGCGCAUGUUUAACCAGCAAAGCAUUGGAUGUCCUGGAGAGGUUUGCAUUCAUUUAUGACCUGUACAAAAGUACUGACAUGGAUUGGUACGAGAAAUGGGCGUUUGCGCUCCUUAUGUUCAACAAUACAAUAUUGGAGAACAUCCGUGCAGAUCUUCAACGGUCAAACUUGAGCUAUGAACAAUUUGCUGGUGCUGCAUAUGAAAUACAUUCCUUGAUCCCUGAAGAAUAUGUUAAACCAGUCCUGCAAACGUGUACUUCAUAUCCAUUACCAACGAAGAAGGAAGAUAUUGAAACCUUCUGCAGCUUCCUAGACAUGUAUCUAGCAAAUAAAUAUAAUGAAACCGUAGCCAGUUCACUCAAACAAGCUGCAGAUUUGGUCUGUUUGAGCACCUUCAAGUACCACAAAGAGAUUGAGCACACUAAAGCAGCUGAGAAAGCGAGGCGGUACGCAGCGACUAUCAUCAUUGAAGAUGGUAUGUAAAAUUAUCAAAGGGGAAACUUAUAAAGAUCUUGUAACAAAGUUAAAAUCAAAGCGUAUAUUACCAGCAAAGACAUGGGAUACACAAAGCUCAGAUGAAAUGGACAUAGUGUUUCUCCUCAUUUGUAAACCACCCUUGUCAAUGGUGCAUGACCUAGCAACACAAAUAAAACACGAAUUGAGUGUACAGUUCCCUGGAAAAGUGGUGAGGUUGAUAAAAACACCCACAUCACAAGUUCUUGGGGCAGAGGAGUAACAUUCCUCAGUAAAUUAAUUAGGAACCAGUAAAAGCUAAAAUUGAAUUUUUUAAAGUAAUAAUUGUAAGCAUACAAUUUUUUCUUUUAAAAUUGGUUGAUCAAUUAUUAUUCUUUUAAUAAGUUUGAAUUUUAGAUGAUAUUUUCUACUCUAAUCCAUUUUAUUUUAAACUAUUCUUUUAAUUAUAUUGUAAUUUAAUUUGUACUUUAUACAUUGAAAAAAAAAUUAUAGAAGUUUUAGUAAUGGCUAGUAGAUGAUAAUCAAAUGAUUACUCAUUUUAAAAAUUGAGACAAAA